rnacentral:rRNA from 1 species
UACGGGGGGGGCAAGCGUUGUUCGGAAUUACUGGGCGUAAAGGGCUCGUAGGCGGCCAACUAAGUCAGACGUGAAAUCCCUCGGCUUAACCGGGGAACUGCGUCUGAUACCGGAUGGCUUGAGUUUGGGAGAGGGAUGCGGAAUUCCAGGUGUAGCGGUGAAAUGCGUAGAUAUCUGGAGGAACACCGGUGGCGAAGGCGGCAUCCUGGACCAACACUGACGCUGAGGAGCGAAAGCCAGGGGAGCAAACGGG